GUGUCAGCCGCCGCGGUAAUACGUAGGCAGCAAGCGUUGUUCGGAGUUACUGGGCGUAAAGAGUGUGUAGGCGGUCCUCCAAGUUCGGUGUGAAAUCUCCCGGCUCAACUGGGAGGGUGCGCCGGAAACUGGAGGGCUCGAGUAUGGGAGAGGGAAGCGGAAUUCCUGGUGUAGCGGUGAAAUGCGUAGAUAUCAGGAGGAACACCUGCGGUGUAGACGGCUUCCUGGACCAUGACUGACGCUGAGACACGAAAGCGUGGGGAGCAAACAGGAUUAGAUACCCGCGUAGUCC
rnacentral:rRNA from 1 species